GCUAACUGAACGCGACCGAGUUCCGGCGCCUGCCGGAUUGAAAGGGAACACGGGGGCAGGUCAUCUGCAGCCGUGGCUGCCCCCGCAACUGUGCGCGGAUGGCGGGGCCGACAGGGCCACUGGGGCCGCCCCCCGGGAAGGCCGGCCACCGCGAUGAUCCGCAAGCCAGGAGACCUGCUCGGUCAGCACCCUUUCG
rnacentral:ncRNA from 1 species